AUUGAACGCUGGCGGCAUGCCUUACACAUGCGAGUCGAACGGUAACGGGCCUUCGGGUGCCGACGAGUGGCGAACGGGUGAGUAAUGCAUCGGAACGUACCUUUCAGUGGGGGAUAACGUAGCGAAAGUUACGCUAAUACCGCAUAUUCUGUGAGCAGGAAAGCAGGGGAUCGCAAGACCUUGCGCUGAUUGAGCGGCCGAUGUCAGAUUAGCUAGUUGGUGAGGUAAAGGCUCACCAAGGCGACGAUCUGUAGCGGGUCUGAGAGGAUGAUCCGCCACACUGGAACUGAGACACGGUCCAGACUCCUACGGGAGGCAGCAGUGGGGAAUUUUGGACAAUGGGGGCAACCCUGAUCCAGCCAUGCCGCGUGAGUGAAGAAGGCC
rnacentral:rRNA from 1 species